rnacentral:rRNA from 1 species
GAUGAACGCUGGCGGCGUGCCUAAUACAUGCAAGUCGAGCGAACGGACGAGAAGCUUGCUUCUCUGAUGUUAGCGGCGGACGGGUGAGUAACACGUGGAUAACCUACCUAUAAGACUGGGAUAACUUCGGGAAACCGGAGCUAAUACCGGAUAAUAUUUUGAACCGCAUGGUUCAAAAGUGAAAGACGGUCUUGCUGUCACUUAUAGAUGGAUCCGCGCUGCAUUAGCUAGUUGGUAAGGUAACGGCUUACCAAGGCAACGAUGCAUAGCCGACCUGAGAGGGUGAUCGGCCAAACUGGAACUGAGACACGGUCCAGACUCCUACGGGAGGCAGCAGUAGGGAAUCUUCCGCAAUGGGCGAAAGCCUGACGGAGCAACGCCGCGUGAGUGAUGAAGGUCUUCGGAUCGUAAAACUCUGUUAUUAGGGAAGAACAUAUGUGUAAGUAACUGUGCACAUCUUGACGGUACCUAAUCAGAAAGCCACGGUGAACUACGU